rnacentral:rRNA from 1 species
GACGAAGGGGGCAAGCGUUGUCCGGAAUCAUUGGGCGUAAAGCGCGUGUAGGCGGUUACGUAAGUCUGCUGUGAAAGUCGGAGGCUCAACCUUCGAAAGCCGGUGGAUACUGCGUGACUAGAGUACGGAAGAGGAGAGUGGAAUUCCUGGUGUAGCGGUGAAAUGCGCAGAUAUCAGGAGGAACACCAACGGCGAAGGCAGCUCUCUGGGACGUUACUGACGCUGAGACGCGAAAGCGUGGGGAGCAAACAGG